UACGUAGGGUGCAAGCGUUAAUCGGAAUUACUGGGCGUAAAGCGUGCGCAGGCGGUUUUGUAAGUCUGACGUGAAAUCCCCGGGCUCAACCUGGGAAUUGCGUUGGAGACUGCAAGGCUAGAAACUGGCAGAGGGGGGUAGAAUUCCACGUGUAGCAGUGAAAUGCGUAGAGAUGUGGAGGAACACCGAUGGCGAAGGCAGCCCCCUGGGUCAAGAUUGACGCUCAUGCACGAAAGCGUGGGGAGCAAACAGG
rnacentral:rRNA from 1 species